CCUACGGGUGGCAGCAGUGAGGAAUAUUGGUCAAUGGACGAGAGUCUGAACCAGCCAAGUAGCGUGAAGGAUGACUGCCCUAUGGGUUGUAAACUUCUUUUAUAUGGGAAUAAAACGUUCCACGUGUGGGAUUUUGUAUGUACCAUAUGAAUAAGGAUCGGCUAACUCCGUGCCAGCAGCCGCGGUAAUACGGAGGAUCCGAGCGUUAUCCGGAUUUAUUGGGGUAAAAGGGAGCGUAGGUGGAUUGUUAAGUCAGUUGUGAAAGUUUGCGGCUCAACCGUAAAAUUGCAGUUGAAACUGGCAGUCUUGAGUCAAGUAGAGGUGAGCGGAAUUCGUGGUGUAGCGGUGAAAUGCUUAGAUAUCACGAAGAACUCCGAUUGCGAAGGCAGUUCACUGGACUGCAACUGACACUGAGGCUCGAAAGUGUGGGUAUCAAACAGGAUUAGAUACCCCUGUAGUC
rnacentral:rRNA from 1 species